rnacentral:tRNA from 1 species
UCCCCGAUGGCGCAGCGGUAGCGCAGAGGACUGUUAAUCCUUUGGUCGCAAGUUCGAAUCUUGCUCGGGGAGCCA